rnacentral:siRNA from 1 species
AUUGGUUGCUUUGAUGUUUUA